AUUGAACGCUGGUGGCAGGCUUAACACAUGCAAGUCGAGCGAGCGGCGGACGGGUGAGUAAUGCCUGGGAAACUGCCUGAUGGAGGGGGAUAACUACGGGAAACGGUAGCUAAUACCGCAUACCAUCAGAUGUGCCCAGGUGGGAUUAGCUAGUAGGUGGGGUAAUGGCUCACCAAGGCGACGAUCCCUAGCUGGUCUGAGAGGAUGACCAGCCACACUGGGACUGAGACACGGUCCAGACUCCUACGGGAGGCAGCAGUGGGGAAUAUUGCGCAAUGGGCGCAAGCCUGAUGCAGCCAUGCCGCGUGUAUGAAGAAGGCCUUCGGGUUGUAAAGUACUUUCAGCGGGGAGGCGUUACCCGCAGAAGAAGCACCGGCUAACUCCGUGCCAGCAGCCGCGGUAAUUC
rnacentral:rRNA from 1 species